AUUGAACGCUGGCGGCAGGCCUAACACAUGCAAGUCGAGCGAGCGGCGGACGGGUGAGUAAUGUAUGGGGACUGCCCGAUAGAGGGGGAUAACUACUGGAAACGGUAGCUAAUACCGCAUCCUAUCGGAUAACCCAUAUGGGAUUAGCUAGUAGGUGAGGUAAUGGCUCACCUAGGCGACGAUCCCUAGCUGGUCUGAGAGGAUGAUCAGCCACACUGGGACUGAGACACGGCCCAGACUCCUACGGAGGCAGCAGUGGGGAAUAGUGCACAAUGGGCGCAAGCCUGAUGCAGCCAUGCCGCGUGGAGGAAGAAGGGACUAGGGUUGUAAAGUACAUUCAGUCGGGAAGCGGUACCGACAGAAGAAGCACCGGCUAACUCCGUGCCAGCAGCCGCGGUAAUUC
rnacentral:rRNA from 1 species